rnacentral:lncRNA from 1 species
CCCGGAUUCCUACGGGAGCCAAGCUCCGUCCAUGACUUCUGCUGUAAGGAAGACUCCGUCCGGACUCCUACAGGAGCUAGGCUCCGUCCAUGACUUCUGCUGCAAGGAGGACUCUGCCCAGACUCCUAUGGGAGCCGGGCUCCAUCCACGACUUCUGCUGCAAGGAAGACUCCGCCCGAACUCCUAUGGGAGUCGAGCUC